UGCUUUGCUCGGAUGAGGGAUAUGCAGCAACUAGUUGGGCCCGCUAUCGCACAGCCCAUCUACCCCACACUUCAGUCUUCAAUGGAGGUUCCGAGCUAUUAUGCUCAACCCCAGUUACCGGCAGUGCAGCAGGUGUCAUACCCAGUCUAUGCCUUGGAGCCGACCCAACAAUCCGUGCCUCGGCCACCAUCCUAAUUUCCGGCAACCGGAGGUUGGGGUCAGAAGCCAAGAUUACAGAUCAUUUGCUACCGCUGCCACGAGCAAGGACACAUCACACCGCACUGUCUGAAUCCCUAGAAACAUGAGGAGUAUCGACCCAUUUGUGGAAUUUGUCAAACCCAGGGGCUACACACACAGGAUCAGUGUCUAUACCACUUGUAGAACACCAGUCAAGGAGUGAAUCAACCACUGCCAGCAGCUGAUCGGGGCAAGCGAGUGGUAGAUAGUAAGGCGAUCUUUGUAGUCGCAGAGGAUCUGCAAGAAGGAGCCGGCG
rnacentral:lncRNA from 1 species